UGUGUGCCUUGUACAGCAAGGAGGAAGGUGGGAUGACGUCAAGUCCUCAUGGCCUUUAUGUCUAGGGCUACACACGUACUACAAUGGCAGGUACAAAGGGCAGCGACACAGCGAUGUGAUGCGAAUCCCGAAAAGCCUGUCUCAGUCCGGAUCGGAGUCUGCAACUCGACUCCGUGAAGUUGGAAUCGCUAGUAAUCGUGGAUCAGCAUGCCACGGUGAAUACGUUCCCGGGCCUU
rnacentral:rRNA from 1 species